UGCUCGCUUCGCCUGCGCUAGCACACAGCGGUUUGUUUGCUUGAGGAUGAGAUUUGUGGUCUGUGGUAGCGGUGAAGCAACUUUGUAUUGUAAAAUUGUAAAAUGGGCCGCUCUGUUACUAAAGAUGCAACAAGUGCCAGUCCACUUUUUCUCAGCUGCACCCUCUCAGUUCAGGCAGCAGCAGUACCAGGUGUAUGUACAUAACUUCCAAGACACACGAGUGCAAUUCUGAAGCUGAUUUUCAGCCAUAGAGAGAAGAAAUGCAGGAUGCAGCCAAGAGUCAUUUUACUAAAGGCACAUGGAGAGGACACAUCAAAGGAAAAGGUCCAUCAAAUCACAAUGUUCCGUCAGGCGUGGGGACACCUGCCUUGCUGAUAUGUCUGCAAUGUUCCAAACUGGCAAGGUCUCAUUUGUCUUCCAAGCUUCCUAUUAUGCACAUGAUUUUGGGGCUGUCCUACACCCCACUUACAAAAACAGAGGAAGAUGUAAUAGAGGCAGCCCGUGCAGGGGGGUAUAUGUUUAUUCACACAAAAGGAGAUGUCAGCCAGGCAAGUGCCAGCUUGCUACUCCUUAAAAAAAGAAAAAAAAACAGGUACGGGAGAAGCCGCGAUGUCAACGAUGUGCUGCGGGCGUACAGGCACUUGUAAAACACUAUGUUGUACUGGAAUGUCCUUUUUUACCUUCCAGAAACUAUUUGUUUAUGUUAGGGAAACUACGUGACGGCAUUGCACUCAGCGUACUAUGCAGCUCAGUAUUCGGGGUGUGCUGGAUGGCACGUUUCAAAGGAUCCAGUUCACCUCACUACAAGGCAGUACCUGUACAUCACCAUGAGGGACUAUAAUAUAUGUUACAGUGAGAGGAAACACGACGACAACCAAACCAGUGUUGCCUUGUUGGUCAGUUCUAUCAGAGCCCAAACAAACAGUCCAGUGCUUUCCCUCACACACAAAGGCAAGAAGGAUGAUCCUACUGUCUUUCAACGAGGAAAUACUGACUUGUUGCAAGAUGAGGAUUUCUUGCUAGUUCUCAUGACCGGCAUGCAAAAACAGCUGUUAAGGCAUUUGGGCACCAACAAAAGUGUGAUGAACACAGGAGGAGCAGGAAAGCUAGCUGGUGUUGACUUGAUGUUAAUGCCGAAGUGUACACUUUCUUUUUACCCGUCUCUCCUUCACUUCGUGUAUUAAAGCUUCUUUGCUGGUU